rnacentral:rRNA from 1 species
AGUGAACGCUGGCGGUAGGCCUAACACAUGCAAGUCGAACGGCAGCACAGUAAGAUCUUGCUCCUACGGGUGGCGAGUGGCGGACGGGUGAGGAAUACAUCGGAUUCUACUUUUUCGUGGGGGAUAACGUAGGGAAACUUACGCUAAUACCGCAUACGUCCUACGGCUGAAAGCAGGGGAUCUUCGGACCUUGCGCGAUUGAAUGAGCCGAUGUCGGAUUAGCUAGUUGGCGGGGUAAAGGCCCACCAAGGCGACGAUCCGUAGCUGGUCUGAGAGGAUGAUCAGCCACACUGGAACUGAGACACGGUCCAGACUCCUACGGGAGGCAGCAGUGGGGAAUAUUGGACAAUGGGCGCAAGCCUGAUCCAGCCAUACCGCGUGAGUGAAGAAGGCCUUCGGGUUGUAAAGCCCUUUUAUUGGGAAAGAAAAACAGCAGGUUAAUACCCCGCUGUUCUGACGGUACCCAAAGAAUAAGCACCGGCUAACUUCGUG